rnacentral:lncRNA from 1 species
CUAGCUUUCUCCAUCUGAACGUCGAUACUCCUCCGUGACUUCUCGUGGUAUUCGACGCUCCUUCUAGAUCUUUCCAUUUGGUCGAAAGUGACUUUCAACUUGGACAGCCUCUCAUCGUUCUGGAACUUGUAUUCAAACGGCUUUAGUUUCUCAGGCCGGUCGGUGCUCCGCCUAGGUUUCUCCCUCCGGUCAGUGCUCUUCCUUGGAGCAUCGAUACAGUCGGUACUCUUCCUGGAAUGUUCGGGCCGG